AGCUUCAACGGUAAUCAAGUUUAAAAUGAUGAAAUGUUCACAACAAACCCCCAAACACCAUUUUGAUCAACGAAAUUGCGAUUGUUCGACGUACAUUUGAGGUUGUUCGACGUACGGCCAAAUAUUUUUUGGCAAAAUCCAAAUGUAAGAAUUUUCACAAAGGGUGAAACAAUUGUAUCAUCACCUUAAGUGUGUAACAAUACCUAUUUGAAUUGUACAAGAAUCACGGGUCACAUAUUUAAAUAUGAUUCACAUGUUACACUAAUUAAAACGUAGUUUGUUAGACAAUAACAAGAUAGUACAUGAUAAAAUAAAGAGAAAAUGAGUUUAGAAAUAAUGGAAAAAAUAAAACAUUUUUUAGUUACUCUAAUUCUUUCCUUCUUCACACUAGAAAAUGGGGAAAUAGUAAUUUUUCAUAUUUCUUUGAUGAAGUUACUGUUCUCCUUCUUCUAGGACCCUUAACUUAUCAUAUUCUUCUUAAUGACACUUCUUUCAUCUUGUCCCUAACUAGCUAGCAACACCAAGCAGCUGACGCGUGACAACGCCUCUUUAGAUUAUAAAUCUGCCUCCAUUUUCAUCAACGAGGAAGUCUCUGCAUUUGUUGCCUUUGUCGAAGAAGCGUCUUGGUUUUGGAAAGUGUUGUAGUUUCUUUGGCAGCUGUGAUUGUUAGAAAAAGAGGUAAGUGAAAAUGAUCAAGUAAAACUAGUUUUUAUUUAAAUAUCACAAACCCGAAAAAACGACAAUUUUGUGCGUAAAAAAGUGAGAAGACUAAUACAACCAAUUGAGAACAUUAAUGUUAAUAUAGAAUGACUUUAUUUUCAAAUUCACUUGAGGAUUUUAGAAGAGAGAAACAAAUCGAGAAGCUGGAUAAUGUCUAAAGAAACAUAUUCCUAAGUUUUGCUAUUUAAACAUGCAAGACUAAAAUUAUCAAUUUUUCAGGAGUCAACAAGUAGAGGAACAAGUAUCUAUAAAGAAAAUGUCAGCUUAAGUUUCUACGAUCCUCUUUUCUUGAAGUUAACUUAAAACCUCAUUUUUUGAGUAAAUUAUAUUUUCUCUGCGCACAAUCGUAGAAACUGACCUUUAGAAUGAAUAAAACUAUAAUCGAAUGCAAAACUUGAAAUAGUACAAUAGUUGACUCUGUGAUUUUUAAACAGAAAUAAUAGGGUAGAGGAAGCUUGCCCCUCAUGAAAUUUAGUCCACACAAUCUACUUGAACUAGUUGAGAAAAUAAAUGUAUGCAUCCCCACAACAUAGUGAUAGACAACGACAUUUGAUUCCCCACUCUCAUUUCUUCCAUACCAUAAUUAAAUCACAACCAACCAACCAAAAAUUAACAAUUGAAUAGAGUAAAACGGGGCAAGAUAUUGCGACAUAACGAUUUUUUAUACCGUGGAAAUUGCAAUGCGAGCCCAAUUGAGGCUGCAUCAGUUGCAUUUAACCGUAAUUAUUUCAAAAUAACCACAACCGUUAGUGUAACCGCCGUUUAAAACACUAC
rnacentral:lncRNA from 1 species